rnacentral:rRNA from 1 species
CCUACGGGAGGCAGCAGUGGGGAAUCUUAGACAAUGGGGGAAACCCUGAUCUAGCCAUGCCGCGUGAUCGAUGAAGGCCUUAGGGUUGUAAAGAUCUUUCAGUGGGGAAGAUAAUGACGAUACCCACAGAAGAAGCCCCGACUAACUCCGUGCCAGCAGCCGCGGUAAU